AGUCACUUACUCUGAGGAUAGCACUUUCCGGCAGGCUGAAUGCCCAGUCCUUCCAGCCUCAUUUCGGUGGUACUACACACAGAGUAAGUGACUAGUCGUGAUUGAGAGCAGCAGAAUCUGGAGCUUAAAGAUGCAGAGGAGACCUGAUCACAGUCAAACGAAUUGAGAAGGCCACCAGAUGAUGGAUACGUACAUGAAACUGGCAGUUCUUGCCUAAAUCGUUAACGUGUAGCCCUUCAGUGAAAUUUAACCAAAUAGAUCCUUUCAAAGAGAUUGCAACCAAAAUCCAAAGGGAGGAGAUGCAUAAAGAACUGCCAAGUGAAAAGAUGACAAUGGGAGUACAACAUGUUCCUGAAUCUCUUAUCAAAUAAAGGAAACGAUCAGUCAAUUCUGACUAGAGCCCUACCAUGAAAAACUUGUCAGUCAAAAAGAAGAAACCAAAUCCCCAGAAUUACCAGCUCUAACGAGGCGAGAAAUAUUUAACAUUAUGGCAACAGUUAAUUGUUGGAAGGGAAAGCAGGACUGAAAUGGGGGUUAAACCAAAGAGGGGAAACCACAGAGUUGAACCUUGAACAUAGGACGCAGGUUAGAACUGCAAAUCAGCAGAGACUUUAGACAGCAAAGGAGAAAUGGAUUGAGUGUUAUAAAAAUUACACAAGAUUGACCCUAUGGGGGAAGCAUACUUGCUAUUGCUUUGUUCAUCCCUGCUCUUUUACUACCCUAGAUUUCAAUUUA